rnacentral:rRNA from 1 species
AGAGUUUGAUCAUGGCUCAGAACGAACGUUAGCGGCGCGCCUAACACAUGCAAGUCGCACGAGAAAGGGCUUCGGCCCCGGUAAAGUGGCGCACGGGUGAGUAACACGUGGGUAAUCUGCCCUCGAGCAGGGGAUAACAUUCCGAAAGGAGUGCUAAUACCGUAUAAGACCACGACCUCGAAAGAGGACGCGGUAAAAGCUGGCCUCUAUACAUAAGCUAGCACUUGAGGAUGAGCCCGCGGCGCAUCAGCUAGUUGGUGGGGUAAUGGCCCACCAAGGCUAAGACGCGUAGCUGGUCUGAGAGGAUGAUCAGCCACACUGGAACUGAGACACGGUCCAGACUCCUACGGGAGGCAGCAGUGGGGAAUCUUGCGCAAUGGGCGAAAGCCUGACGCAGCGACGCCGCGUGAGUGAUGAAGGCCUUCGGGUUGUAAAGCUCUGUGGGGAGAGACGAAUAAGUGCAGCCUAAUACGUUGCAUGAUGACGGUAUCUCCUUAGCAAGCACCGGCUAACUCUGUGCCAGCAGCCGCGGUAAGACAGAGGGUGCAAACGUUGUUCGGAAUUACUGGGCGUAAAGCGAGUGUAGGCGGUCCGAUAAGUCGGGUGUGAAAGCCCUGGGCUCAACCCAGGAAGUGCACUCGAAACUGCCGGGCUAGAGUAUCGGAGAGGUUGGUGGAAUUCUCGGUGUAGAGGUGAAAUUCGUAGAUAUCGAGAGGAACACCGGUGGCGAAGGCGGCCAACUGGACGAAUACUGACGCUGAGACUCGAAAGCGUGGGGAGCAAACAGGAUUAGAUACCCUAGUAGUCC